rnacentral:snRNA from 2 species
AACUCAAGAAGAUCACAUUCUUCGCACAUGGUUCUUGUCUUUUCCCAGAACCAUCCGGGAUGUGUCUUUGUCAAUUGGGUCUACUCGAUAAUUUUUGGAAAUGUUCACUGUUUCGAUCAAU